UACGAAGGGGGCUAGCGUUGCUCGGAUUGACUGGGCGUAAAGGGCGCGUAGGCGGUUCGUACAGUCAGACGUGAAAUUCCUGGGCUCAACCUGGGGGCUGCGUUUGAUACGUGCGGACUUGAGUGCGGAAGAGGGUCGUGGAAUUCCCAGUGUAGAGGUGAAAAUUCGUAGAUAUUGGGAAGAACACCGGUGGCGAAGGCGGGUCUCUGGGCCGAUACUGACGCUGAGGAGCGAAAGCGUGGGGAGCGAACAGG
rnacentral:rRNA from 1 species